AGAGUUUGAUCAUGGCUCAGAACGAACGCUGGCGGCAGGCUUAACACAUGCAAGUCGAACGAUGUAGCAAUACAUAGUGGCGCACGGGUGAGUAACGCGUGGGAAUAUACCUUAUAGUGGGGAAUAACUUUGGGAAACUAAAGUUAAUACCGCAUACGCCCGAGAGGGGAAAGAUUUAUCGCUAUAAGAUUAGCCCGCGUGAGAUUAGGUAGUUGGUGGGGUAAUGGCCUACCAAGCCUACGAUCUCUAGCUGGUCUGAGAGGAUGAUCAGCCACACUGGAACUGAGACACGGUCCAGACUCCUACGGGAGGCAGCAGUGGGGAAUAUUGGGCAAUGGAGGAAACUCUGACCCAGCCAUGCCGCGUGAAUGAUGAAGGCCUUAGGGUUGUAAAGUUCUUUCGCCGAUGAAGAUAAUGACGGUAGUCGGAGAAGAAGCCCCGGCUAACUUCGUGCCAGCAGCCGCGGUAAUACGAAGGGGGCUAGCGUUGUUCGGAAUUACUGGGCGUAAAGCGAGCGUAGGUUGCUCGAUAAGUCAGUGGUGAAAGCCCAGAGCUCAACUCUGGAACUGCCAUUGAAACUGUCGAGCUGGAAUCUCAGAGGGGGUAGCGGAAUUCCAAAUGUAGGGGUGAAAUCCGUAGAUAUUUGGAGGAACACCGGUGGCGAAGGCGGCUACCUGGAUGAGUAUUGACACUGAGGCUCGAAAGCGUGGGGAUCAAACAGGAUUAGAUACCCUGGUAGUCC
rnacentral:rRNA from 1 species